rnacentral:rRNA from 1 species
UUGAACGCUGGCGGCAGGCCUAACACAUGCAAGUCGAACGGUAGCACAGAGAGCUUGCUCUUGGGUGACGAGUGGCGGACGGGUGAGUAAUGUCUGGGAAACUGCCCGAUGGAGGGGGAUAACUACUGGAAACGGUAGCUAAUACCGCAUAACGUCUUCGGACCAAAGUGGGGGACCUUCGGGCCUCACACCAUCGGAUGUGCCCAGAUGGGAUUAGCUAGUAGGUGGGGUAAUGGCUCACCUAGGCGACGAUCCCUAGCUGGUCUGAGAGGAUGACCAGCCACACUGGAACUGAGACACGGUCCAGACUCCUACGGGAGGCAGCAGUGGGGAAUAUUGCACAAUGGGCGCAAGCCUGAUGCAGCCAUGCCGCGUGUAUGAAGAAGGCCUUCGGGUUGUAAAGUACUUUCAGCGGGGAGGAAGGCGAUGGAGUUAAUAGCUUCAUCGAUUGACGUUACCCGCAGAAGAAGCACCGGCUAACUCCGUGCCAGCAGCCGCGGUAAUACGGAGGGUGCAAGCGUUAAUCGGAAUUACUGGGCGUAAAGCGCACGCAGGCGGUCUGUCAAGUCGGAUGUGAAAUCCCCGGGCUUAACCUGGGAACUGCAUUCGAAACUGGCAGGCUAGAGUCUUGUAGAGGGGGGUAGAAUUCCAGGUGUAGCGGUGAAAUGCGUAGAGAUCUGGAGGAAUACCGGUGGCGAAAGGCGGCCCCCUGGGACAAAGACUGACGCUCAGGUGCGAAAGCGUGGGGAGCAAACAGGAUUAGAUACCCCUGGUAGUCCACGCCGUAAACGAUGUCGACUUGGAGGUUGUGCCCUUGAGGCGUGGCUUCCGGAGCUAACGCGUUAAGUCGACCGCCUGGGGAGUACGGCCGCAAGGUUAAAACUCAAAUGAAUUGACGGGGGCCCGCACAAGCGGUGGAGCAUGUGGUUUAAUUCGAUGCAACGCGAAGAACCUUACCUACUCUUGACAUCCAGCGAAUUCGGUAGAGAUACCUUAGUGCCUUCGGGAACGCUGAGACAGGUGCUGCAUGGCUGUCGUCAGCUCGUGUUGUGAAAUGUUGGGUUAAGUCCCGCAACGAGCGCAACCCUUAUCCUUUGUUGCCAGCGGUCCGGCCGGGAACUCAAAGGAGACUGCCAGUGAUAAACUGGAGGAAGGUGGGGAUGACGUCAAGUCAUCAUGGCCCUUACGAGUAGGGCUACACACGUGCUACAAUGGCGCAUACAAAGAGAAGCGACCUCGCGAGAGCAAGCGGACCUCAUAAAGUGCGUCGUAGUCCGGAUUGGAGUCUGCAACUCGACUCCAUGAAGUCGGAAUCGCUAGUAAUCGUAGAUCAGAAUGCUACGGUGAAUACGUUCCCGGGCCUUGUACACACCGC